ensembl:lncRNA
AAAAAAAGGCUUAUCUUAGUAAUGAGCUAGAAUCACUUUUAAAAUCUUUUUUUAAAACGCGCUUGGCAUGCAGCCAGUGGGGAAAGCACUGAAAAACAAGCUCACACGUUAUCAGUGCUCUCUGUUAGCAGGUCAGAAAGCCUGUACGAAAGCGCAGCUACCAUGGAUGGGAGACGGGCAUUUAUACAGCUGUGAAUGUAGCGCCGUGACACUGGAGAUAAAGUCCUUUCAGAGGAGCCUCCUUUUCCGCUUCCAGACAGUGAGGGGCGAGAGAUGGCUCGUACCGCGAGGGUGGCUGUGCUGCCGGGGGGUUGCACGGGCUCCCUCAUACGUGGCAGCCUGGUCCUCGCGCCCUCCAGGGCCUGCCGUGAGCAAGAGGCACCGACACCAAUUUAAUUGCGUGAGUCUAUGGGCUGUCAAAAAGACCAAACGGUGUGAACUUCUCAAUAAAGCACUGGAGCUGGCAACUCUGACACCAACAUUUGAACAACUACUGCUUGCUGGGGCCAAAACUGCGCAAAAGAGCUUGACGUGCUUUUCUAACCUUUAAAAGUGCCUGAAUGUGGCAUAAUAGAAUCUGUUUAUUAUGUUUUGGUGAUUUCCCAAUCAAGUUUGCUCAACGUACAGCUUAGAAACCCAGGGUUUCUUUCGCUGCUGGCUGCUGCCCUCUGUGCUGCCUUGACCUUCAGCGACGGCUGCAGUUCGCGCCUGCAAGAGGCACGGGUCCCGUGAGGCUCUGCGAAACCCUGUCGGUGAGCGGCCGGGCGCCUGCCGCAGCAGAGAGCAGGGCUGAAACCCUGCUGUCCUUCGCUGCGUGGUUAUCCCGGCCGCGCGCUGCGAGUGACGCUUGGGGAGCCGGGAGGGAGGAGCGGAGGGAGGGAGCUGCGCGCAGCCCUCCAGGCUUGCGUGCAAGGGAAACGCUUCAGAAACGCCCCGCCAGCGAACCUCAUGGAUCAUCCAAGCACAAUGCCCACAGGAAAAAGAAGUGAAUUUGGUGACUUCUUCUUCCUACAGCUGCUUCUCUAAGGCGGGCAAAGUCUAGCCUUUUGCUGGCAUAUGUCCAGCUAUGCGGUUUGCCCAGUGUAGGUAGUUUUGCUCCUCUUUCAGAGACUCUGGGUAAUGAAAGCCUCUUCAGUCAAAGACUGAAAGCGAUAUGAGGACUUACGCUAAGAAAUAUUUUUUCCUCUGCAUAUAUCCAUGAAAACGAGUGGGGAAAAGUGCCCUGUGCGCGAGCGGGGAGUAGCCCUGCUGUGGUGGGUCAGGUCACCCCGGGAGGGAGGACGCAUGGCAGCGGGGCCCCACGGGGCUGGUACAUGGCGCAGGGAAGGGUUUGUGCCACCGCAGCAAUCGGGAAGGCAUCGUCUGGUGGCACCUGUCCACAGGCGCAAAGCGCUUCAGGUGGCUUGGGCUAAAACCUCAGCCUUUCCCGUUUACGUGGGCGUUAGUCAUGUCGGGCCCCCGAUGUUGCAAGUUUGAUUGCGCAAUCGUGAUGUUUCUUUGGUAACUUAGAGCCUUCCAGGACAUGACACGAUGGGAAAGAGUUUAAUGUCUGAUAUCAAAAGGAAAAAAAUCUGUAAGGGUAAUGUUAAAGUCCUUGGGGUUGAGUUCCCAUGUCGUAAAGAAAGAAAAAUAAAAAUGGUGUGGAAGUUGUUUUCUUUCUUGAU